rnacentral:rRNA from 1 species
UACGUAGGGGGCCAGCGUUGUUCGGAAUUACUGGGUGUAAAGGGUUCGUAGGCGGUGUGGCAAGUCGGGAGUGAAAUUUCUGGGCUCAACUCAGAGACUGCUUCCGAAACUGCUGUGCUUGAGUGUGGGAGAGGCGCGUGGAAUUGCAGGUGUAGCGGUGAAAUGCGUAGAUAUCUGCAGGAACACCCGUGGCGAAAGCGGCGCGCUGGACCACUACUGACGCUGAGGAACGAAAGCUAGGGGAGCAAACAGG